GACGUAGGGCGCGAGCGUUGUCCGGAUUUAUUGGGCGUAAAGAGCUCGUAGGCGGCUUGUUGCGUCGUCCGUGAAAACCUGGGGCUCAACUCCAGGCUUGCGGUCGAUACGGGCAGGCUAGAGUUCGGUAGGGGGAGACUGGAAUUCCUGGUGUAGCGGUGAAAUGCGCAGAUAUCAAGAGGAACACCUGAGGUGAAGACGGGUUGCUGGGCUGACACUGACGCUGAGGCGCGAAAGCCAGGGGAGCAAACGGG
rnacentral:rRNA from 1 species